UACAGGGGGGGCAAGCGUUUGUUCGGAAUUACUGGGCGUAAAGGGCCAGUAGGCGGCCAACUAAGUCCGACGUGAAAUCCCAAGGCUUAACUUUGGAACUGCGUCGGAUACUGGAUGGCUUGAAUUCGGGAGAGGGAUGCAGAAUUCCAGGUGUAGCGGUGAAAUGCGUAGAUAUCUGGAGGAAUACCGGUGGCGAAGGCGGCAUCCUGGACCGACAUUGACGCUGAACGGCGAAAGCUAGGGGAGCAAACGGG
rnacentral:rRNA from 1 species